CCUACCUUUAAUACUUCUAAGGAUGAAAGAAUAGCAGGUACAAAAUUAGCUCUGUUUAAUUCUGUCCCCUCUGAUGAACCUGUGAGGUGAAAUGCGCGUCAGGGGAAACAUCACUGGCGCUAUCCACCAAUCACUUUACUAAGAGUGACCUGUCACUGCACUAAGAGUGACCUCUUUACUUACCAUACCAAAUAGAGCUUUCUAUCGGCAUCGGCUCGACCGUUACCCAG